UACCUCAGUAACGGCGAGUGAAGCGGUAACAGCUCAAAUUUGAAAGCUGCCAACAGGCCGCGUUGUAAUUUGUAGAAGAUGCUUUGGGGGUAGGCCUAGUCUAAGUUCCUUGGAACAGGACGUCAUAGAGGGUGAGAAUCCCGUAUGUGAUUAGUGCCUUCUCCCGUGUAAAGCUCUUUCGACGAGUCGAGUUGUUUGGGAAUGCAGCUCAAAAUGGGUGGUAUAUUUCAUCUAAAGCUAAAUAUUGGCCAGAGACCGAUAGCGCACAAGUAGAGUGAUCGAAAGAUGAAAAGCACUUUGGAAAGAGAGUUAAACAGUACGUGAAAUUGUUGAAAGGGAAGCGCUUGCAACCAGACUUGCAGGCGGUCGAUCAUCCGAGGUUCUCCCCGGUGCACUCGAUCGUCUUCAGGCCAGCAUCGGUUUUGGUGGCGGGAUAAAGGCUCUAGGAAUGUGGCUCUUCGGAGUGUUAUAGCCUAGGGUGCA
rnacentral:rRNA from 1 species